rnacentral:lncRNA from 1 species
AUUUUACAAUAUGAUAGAUCGAUUGGCUGCCAGCUUGAGUCUGGUAUCUAUCCUUAUACCAACGUAAUCAAAACCUUCCCCUCCCCUCCACCACAGAAAUAUCCUUAUACCAACGUAAUCAAAUGUCUUCCCCUUCCCCUCCACCAAAGAAAAAUCCUUAUACCAAGGUAAUCAAAUGCCUCCCCCUUCCUCUACCAAAGAAAAAUCCUUAUACCAACGUAUUCAAAAGCCUCCCCCUCUACCAAAGAAAUGUCCUUAUACCAACGUAAUCAAAUGCCUCCCCCUCCACCAAAGAAAAAAUCUUAUAACAACGUUAUUAAAUGCCUCCCCCUCCACCAAAAAAAUAUCCUUAUACCAACGUAAUCAAAUGCCUCCCCUCCACCAAAGAAAACUUGACUCCUUAUACCAACGUAAUCAAAUGCCCCCCCCCACC